rnacentral:rRNA from 1 species
CAAUAGCGUAUAUUAAAGUUGUUGCGGUUAAAAAGCUCGUAGUUGGAUUUCUGCUUUGGACGACCGGUCCGCCCUGUGGGUUGGCAUCUGGAUCGGCCUGGGCAUCUUCUUGGGGAACGUAGCUGCACUUGACUGUGUGGUGCGGUAUCCAGGACUUUUACCUUGAGGAAAUUAGAGUGUUUCAAGCAGGCGCACGCCUUGAAUACAUUAGCAUGGAAUAAUAAGAUAGGACCUCGGUUCUAUUUUGUUGGUUUCUAGAGCUGAGGUAAUGAUUAAUAGGGAUAGUUGGGGGCAUUCGUAUUUAACUGUCAGAGGUGAAAUUCUUGGAUUUGUUUAAGACGGACUACUGCGAAAGCAUUUGCCAAGGAUGUUUUCAUUGA